rnacentral:rRNA from 1 species
UCCAGACUCCUACGGGAGGCAGCAGUCGGGAAUAUUGCACAAUGGAGGAAACUCUGAUGCAGUGACGCCGCGUGCAGGAAGAAGGUUUUCGGAUUGUAAACUGCUUUAGACAGGGAAGAAACAAGACAGUACCUGUAGAAUAAGCUCCGGCUAACUACGUGCCAGCAGCCGCGGUAAUACGUAGGGAGCAAGCGUUAUCCGGAUUUAUUGGGUGUAAAGGGUGCGUAGACGGGAAAACAAGUUAGUUGUGAAAUCCCUCGGCUUAACUGAGGAACUGCAACUAAAACUAUUUUUCUUGAGUGUUGGAGAGGAAAGUGGAAUUCCUAGUGUAGCGGUGAAAUGCGUAGAUAUUAGGAGGAACACCAGUGGCGAAGGCGACUUUCUGGACAAUAACUGACGUUGAGGCACGAAAGUGUGGGGAGCAAACAGGAUUAGAUACCCCUGUA